AUCACAUAUUUUUCAAAUUAUUUUAGCAUCUAUCUUCAUAGCAAAGCAUCAUCGUUCUUAAACCUCUAUUUACCUUGACACAUUUUUUCGAAAGCUCUGACAAGUUUGAGCUGAUGAACCUCGAUUUUAUCAAGAAUAACGCUAACUAUACUUAAAUUAACUUAGAAAAUUGGUAUAUCAACUGAUGCGGUAGUGAACAAACUUUGCAUGAACACCAUUCGACAUGUAACGAUAGAGUUCGUCAC